UACGGGGGGGGGCAAGCGUUGUUCGGAAUUACUGGGCGUAAAGGGCUCGUAGGUGGCCAACUAAGUCAGACGUGAAAUCCCCUCGGCUUAACCGGGGAACUGCGUCUGAUACUGGAUGGCUUGAGUUCGGGGAGAGGGAUGCGGAAUUCCAGGUGUAGCGGUGAAAUGCGUAGAUAUCUGGAGGAACACCGGUGGCGAAGGCGGCAUCCUGGACCGACACUGACGCUGAGGAGCGAAAGCCAGGGGAGCAAACGGG
rnacentral:rRNA from 1 species